rnacentral:lncRNA from 1 species
CUGCCGUGGCCCCAGGGACCAGCACGCGCACGCCAGGGCCGCGAUCCCGCUGGUCACCCCGGGGCUGUUGACAAUUGAAUAAACACGCCAAAGCCCUGGGAUCUGUCAGUGGCUGAGGCCGCCA